GCAGUGGUAACCUUACUUUGUACUUUUAACAACAAACACACUCCUAGUCACACUUUUGCUCUAAGUAGCCUGCAAAUGUGUUGAUUUUUGUCUAAUUUUGGUACGCUCUUUGGACUCGUAACUAAGGAAACAUUUUCCUUAGAUACGAGAUGUAAUGAUGUGAUCGAAAUUUUUAUUUCUUUCUCUAACAUGUUUUUAAUGGUAUUACAAAUCAAUUAAGAGCACUUUAAACUAAAUCUAAAUUUUUGCACAUUCCAUGUUUGUACAGUAUGAAGCUCUAUGCUUAUUGGCACGGCCUCUU
rnacentral:lncRNA from 1 species